rnacentral:misc_RNA from 1 species
UAAGGAAACAAUUAUCAUCUUCAGUUU